UUUCCGUAGGUGAACCUGCGGAAGGAUCAUUAAUGAGUUGUCAUGGGGUUCGAUGCUGGCAGCCAAUUUUUGGAUGCAUGUGCUUGCCCUAACAAUCAUCUUCCAAACACCUGUGCACAUUUUUGAGGGAGUCUUGAGUUGGUUGCCGCUCUUGGGUGAUUUUCUCACAUUCCCUUAAAUCAUUAUACGCUAUUAACAAUGUUGAACGUGCUCUGUGCCGCAAGGCUAUUAUUAUAAUACAACUUUUAACAACGGAUCUCUUGGCUCUC
rnacentral:misc_RNA from 1 species